UGGCUUAGAUAGUGGACUUGCAGC
rnacentral:siRNA from 1 species